UACGGGGGGGGGCAAGCGUUGUUCGGAAUUCCUGGGCGUAAAGGGCGCGUAGGCGGCCAUCUAAGUCAGACGUGAAAUCCCUCGGCUCAACCGAGGAACUGCGUCUGAUACUGGAAGGCUUGAAUCCGGGAGAGGGAUGUGGAAUUCCAGGUGUAGCGGUGAAAUGCGUAGAUAUCUGGAGGAACACCGGUGGCGAAGGCGGCAUCCUGGACCGGUAUUGACGCUGAGGCGCGAAAGCUAGGGGAGCAAACGGG
rnacentral:rRNA from 1 species